rnacentral:lncRNA from 1 species
UUAAAGCGAAACUUAUGUACAAUUCUAUCUCAAAAGGAGUACAGACUCAAAUAUACAAAGGUUCUCAAUUCUGCAUACAUCCAGCCCGUGCCAAGCACUACGGCGAGAACCAUUACAAAAUUUCAAGAAACUAGUCUAUACCGAGCUCUCGUCCUGACUCGCCUUCUCCUGUUAAGGAAAACAAAACUAAAGGAAUGAGUUAAAAACUCAGUGAGGUUCCGAACACAUAAUCAAACAAUCAAUCCAAUACAUUAAACAUAGAGUAACAAUAAUUCAAGAAACAUUUACAAUGGAAAGCGAUAAUAACACAUACAUUAAAAGGAUACGGGCUCACAGGGAGCCAUUUAUUCGUUCGUUCGUGCGUUUUCCUGUCAUUCCCCUUAUUCCUCCAAUCAUUUGAAAAUACAUUUUUGCAAGUAAAACCCUCGUUCAUUAAUUCAUUUCAUUCACCCCCUCCUGGAUGUUGGCCAGGCUCCACCCGACAACAAGGUAAUACUCGAGUAUACCAAACGUUCACCCAAGGUCACCAUAUCGCCCGACCGAAUCCACUUCUGGCUCGAGUCGACAGGUAACAAAGGGCAAGGGCCCAGUUCAGCCAAACGGCUUACAUUUAUGUGCAACUAGCAUUUAAUCAUUUAAUCAUUGAAAAUUUCACAUUUAUUUAGGUCGAGUGCGAUAAAGUACACACUCGCCUAGAAAACUCGUUUUGGAAAUCAUUGAAAGCACUUAACACAUUAUCAAACAGCAACAACAAGCCAUGAAAUCAAGGAAAAUAUAACAAACAAGGAACACUCACCUAUUUACGCAAAAUAAUGUCCAAAGUGUUCUUC